AUUUACUGGAGUGUACGUAAUGACGCAACACUAGAGCGUAGAGAGAGAGAAAAAAAACACACCACACGAGAAGCGGGAAGGACGGAGCAGCAGUGACCGUGGCCGCACAUUACAGGAGCUCGCAAAACCUAGAAAAAGUGUUUAAAAGCCGCGCUUCAGCACGCUUGGAAAACUUCCCCUUGUUUCGGAGGACUGCGGAGGACUCACAGACAACUCGUGCAGCCUGGGGCGAGUUUAAAUCGUUUUCUGAAGAAUGAGCUGGAAGAGCUAAGCUAAAGUUGCUAGCACCGUGUCUUUGCUAAUUCACCUCGGAACCAGUCGGGAGAGAGAGAUGACGUGAUCACCAGACGAACACCCGCACUCACCUGCGUUGAGGACGACAGCCAGGAGAGCGGAUUCCGUGUGCCCAUCUCAUCGAUGUACUUCCUUCGUUUUUUUUGGCCGUAAUGGUGAACUGCAGACUGAGCAUGUGCGACUGUCGUUAGACCGCACAGGAGGGGAGAGCGAGGGGAGACUGCUGCAGCUUGUCCCCCGGGAGAAUCCAUGCUCUGAUUGGUGCAGCCAGACUUCAUUGCGACGCAUCGACGCUCAAUAUGCAAAUCGGCGUAUUUCUGUAAUCAAUGACGUCGAUUAUGCCGAUGAAUCGUCCCAGUCCUAGUCAGUGGUUUAGUAUGAGUAGAUUAAUGGUGACAUUUUAUGAAAAUGUCACCUUUUCAGUGGUCUGCUGUUCCUACAAACUCACACACUAAAAUGAGACAACCCAGUCCGUUUUUGUGGGCAUGUUGCACUUUCUGACCAUCUGUAAUUUAGCAAACGAGCAUGCUUUACAGUAUGUAGGUAUUGAGUAUGUGUAUCACUGCUAGACUGAGCAUAGAGACAUGUACUCAAAGCAAACAUGAGCAUAGUACAGUUACAGCUGAUUAGAAUGCGAUUGGUAAUUUCAUUGUGACCUGGAGGCACAUCUUGUCUGUUGUGCUGUAGAACUGUACAUUUAGGCUUCUAGACCUGAAAGAUUAGCAAGUAGCUACUGCUACAACCACUCAGAUUCAGCUCUGUUAUUAGUACCGUCAGUACUGUUUUUGUUGAAAUGGACUUUCAAGCUUUCAAACUUCUCAAGUAUGAAGCUCACACUGGCCCACUUCCAGUAAAACUUUCUUUAAAUACUUUUGAGGGAUUUAUUUGCAUUAAUCCAUGUUACAGGCCAAGGAAAGCACAUCUGGACAGUUGGCUAUGGUACACCAUGUGGCCUACCUGACUGACCCACUAUCAAAACUCUCCAACCUCAUUUCAGAAGUGUUGGUUUGUUGACCAACAGUUAUUUUAUUAUGUGAUGUCAUUCGUUAUGAUUCUGUAGUUUAGUUGUAAUUGCUCCUCAUUUUUUUAUUUGGUACGACUAACAUAAUAUUGAAUGUCUGUUUGUAUGUAUUGAAGGCACGCAUAAAACUAUGUCCUGCACUGAUGUUGGUGUUGGCACCUCGACUAUUGACUUCAAAGCUUCACUACCAUUCCUAACAUCACCACCAAUAAAGAGACCAUGUAAGAGACCUCACUUGGAGCUGGAGGAGGAAGAAGAGCAGAACCCUUUAGAAGGCAGCUCUUUUAUGGACAUUCCAGAUCCACAGGAUUCUACAUAAGAUCCUGCAGACUGUCACUGAGUCAACAGACUUUUUAACCUAAACAUUUUAAUAAUUUGUUGGAUUAGUUUUCUGUGUUCAUUUUAGCUCAAGCAAUAUAGCUGUUAAUAUUUUGUUGUUGUUCAUUUUUUGUCUUAACGGUCUAAUACAGUGGAAUUUUCCAUCCCUGUCCAUAAGACACCAGGACACAAGGAUGUAAAUAGAGACAGCACAGGAUGGCAUGUUGGAGCGACUCAGUCAGGGCAGACUCACCAGGUAGAUACUUUUUACUGUGUGUUGCAUAGAAUAAUGUUUUUGUUUAAGGGGGGUGGGUGCCUACGGUGAGCUGAAAACUUUGCUGAUGUUAAAUAAAGGUAAAGAUAAGGUUUAAGAGAUCAGUAGAUCAGCACUCAAUAGCGGCCUCCUGCUUUACAGUAUUUGUUUCAAAGUGCGUCAUAAUCACUGCUGAAGGUGCUGAUCCAGAGACCUGGUGCGGGAAAUUGCUGGCCACCCGUCGGUCAUGCUGAUUGGCGCAAUUCCUGUUACUUCUCGGAGGGGAUGCAGUAUUGAUGGCUGACAAGAUAUGUGAUUUUAAAAAAAUGUGCUGUGCUGAUAUCAGACUGUGGAUCUGUCGCUCUGUCAAAUUGACAGGCGUAAAUUCAAAGUAGCACAAACAUGACAUAACAUGACACUAAUGCAUCAUGUUAUGACAAAUGCAUCAAAAUGACCUCUAUACUCUCAGUAACUGCGCCCUACUUAACCUCAAGUCUCAGUCAAGCCUGGCUAUGCAAUUCAGGAAUCAUGUAAUUGGUAUAUGAUGGACAAUGCUUUGUCAUACUGACAGUUACUGAUGUCAUACUGUAUCAGGCUACAUUAUCAUCUGAUCUAAUUCAUAUAUUUUUAUUAUUUUGAAUCCAGAGUGCGGCAACAAAACGUGCGGGGUGUCUGUACCUAUUCCACUCAUUCAGUUACUGUGGCAUCAACUGUUCAUGUGUGCAUACAAGCCAACUGUGCGUAAAAGAGCUUUCCAGUCAAUAGAGUGAGAGCACAUGCCACACGCAGCUUUCUCUCUCUUCAGCCAGCACUGAACUUCAGUUUACAGACAGUUUUAACGUGCGUUUUCAUACUUAACUGUAUUCUCUUUUGGAACAGUUGUCUAGAUGAAACGUCUCCAGCAGCACUGGACAUGCAACUCGGCAUCAUGUAAAUGGUGUUAAUUCAUGACGAACAGUCGGAUAUCUGAUUUCAUGCAUGGCUACAUCAUCAUCUGAUCUAAUCUACAGUUAUUUUUAGGCUAUUUGUUAUUCAGGGUGCAGAAAAAAAUAUUUUUUCCAUGACACUUAUCUGUAUUUUUAUAAUCAGAGCAAUGAAGUAGAUACCACAAGGAGAAAGAGGGUCUGAAGAGGAACCUUGCACUCAUGGAAGGAGCUGGUGUGACUCUGGAUAGUAUUGUCAUAGACUGUCACCCUCAAAUCCUGAAAUUCCUGAGAGAGGCCAACAUCAUUUACCUGGGUGCAAAAAAUAAAAAUUGAUGACUGAAAUACUGUUUUUACACUGAACAAGGAAUGUGACAAACUGUCUCAAACAUCUACUGGACAGCAGCUUCUUCUACAACAGGGCCCGAGAGUACCUUCGUCCUUAACCACAUGCAAGACAUCCACACCCAUGAAGACCCUGUUUUCCUCAAGUGUUAGCAUUAUACUACGAUUUCAUUCACCAAGCAUGCAUACUACCCGUGGUAUCUCCCUGCAGCAGACAUUCUCUGCCUCUGUAGGCAUUGUUGCACAGUUCCCACAAAUACACCUGUGCCAGGAAAGAGAUUACAAAAGUGGAAACAUGGCAGGGGUAGUUUAUUUGAAUGUAAUUGCUAUUUAGGACAUAGGUCAUCAAAUGCUACAAUUUAGUAAAGUUGACUGUCGUAUGCUGUGUUGUGUAGUGGUAUGUGGACCCAAAGGCAGAUGACCAGGAAGCGGUAUGAGGUGAAGUAGCCAGAUGGCUAUCGUGUUUAAUGGGGGUGAUGUGGUUUACAGCCAAGUACAGGCAGACCGGUAAGC